rnacentral:rRNA from 1 species
GUAAACGUNGGGCACUAGGUGUGGGGGGCCUUUUCCGGGNUCUUCCGCGCCGUAGCUAACGCAUUAAGUGCCCCGCCUGGGGAGUACGGCCGCAAGGCUAAAACUCAAAGGAAUUGACGGGGGCCCGCACAAGCGGCGGAGCAUGCGGAUUAAUUCGAUGCAACGCGAAGAACCUUACCAAGGCUUGACAUGUGCCGGUCGGCUCCGGAGACGGGGUUUCCUUCCUUUGUGGGGGCCGGUUCACAGGUGGUGCAUGGUUGUCGUCAGCUCGUGUCGUGAGANNNNNNNNNNNNUCCCGCAACGAGCGCAACCCCUGUCCCGUGUUGCCAGCACGUUGUGGUGGGGACUCGCGGGAGACUGCCGGGGUCAACUCGGAGGAGGGUGGGGAUGACGUCAAAUCAUCAUGCCCCUUAUGUCUUGGGCUUCACGCAUGCUACAAUGGCCGGUACAGAGGGCUGCGAUGCCGUGAGGUGGAGCGAAUCCCUUAAAGCCGGUCUCAGUUCGGAUCGGUGUCUGCAACUCGACACCGUGAAGUUGGAGUCGCUAGUAAUCGCAGAUCAGCAACGCUGCGGUGAAUACGUU